UACGUAGGGUGCGAGCGUUGUCCGGAAUUACUGGGCGUAAAGAGCUCGUAGGUGGUUUGUCGCGUUGUUCGUGAAGCCUCACGGCUUAACUGUGAGCGUGCGGGCGAUACGGGCAGACUGGAGUACUGCAGGGGAGACUGGAAUUCCUGGUGUAGCGGUGGAAUGCGCAGAUACCAGGAGGAACACCGGUGGCGAAGGCGGGUCUCUGGGCAGUAACUGACGCUGAGGAGCGAAAGCGUGGGGAGCGAACAGG
rnacentral:rRNA from 1 species